UACGGAGGGGGCUAGCGUUGUUCGGAAUUACUGGGCGUAAAGCGCACGUAGGCGGCUUUGUAAGUUAGAGGUGAAAGCCCAGGGCUCAACCCUGGAAUUGCCUUUAAGACUGCAUCGCUUGAACAUCGGAGAGGUAAGUGGAAUUCCGAGUGUAGAGGUGAAAUUCGUAGAUAUUCGCAAGAACACCGGUGGCGAAGGCGGGUCUCUGGGCCGAUACUGACGCUGAGGAGCGAAAGCGUGGGGAGCGAACAGG
rnacentral:rRNA from 1 species